rnacentral:misc_RNA from 1 species
GAUGAAGAACGCAGUGAAAUGCGAUAAGUAAUGUGAAUUGCAGAAUUCAGUGAAUCAUCGAAUCUUUGAACGCACAUUGCGCCCCCUGGUAUUCCGGGGGGCAUGCCUGUUCGAGCGUCAUUUCACCACUCAAGCCUCGCUUGGUAUUGGGCAACGCGGUCCGCCGCGUGCCUCAAAUCGUCCGGCUGGGUCUUCUGUCCCCUAAGCGUUGUGGAAACUAUUCGCUAAAGGGUGUUCGGGAGGCUACGCCGUAAAACAACCCCAUUUCUAAGGUUGACCUCGGAUCAGGUAGGGAUACCCGCUGAACUUAAGCAUAUCAAAAGCGGAGGA